rnacentral:rRNA from 1 species
CAGUGAUAAACUGGAGGAAGGUGGGGAUGACGUCAAGUCAUCAUGGCCCUUACGACCAGGGCUACACACGUGCUACAAUGGCGCAUACAAAGAGAAGCGACCUCGCGAGAGCAAGCGGACCUCAUAAAGUGCGUCGUAGUCCGGAUUGGAGUCUGCAACUCGACUCCAUGAAGUCGGAAUCGCUAGUAAUCGUGGAUCAGAAUGCCACGGUGAAUACGUUCCCGGGCCUUGUACACACCGCCCGUCACACCAUGGGAGUGGGUUGCAAAAGAAGUAGGUAGCUUAACCUUCG